AGUGGGAUUGCUGGGUCAUAUGAUAACUCUCCUUAAUCUUCUGAGGAAUUAUCAGACUGUUUUCCAAAAUGACUGUACCAUUUUACAUCCCAUCAGCAAU
rnacentral:pre_miRNA from 1 species